UACAACAAGCUCUGUGGUUUUAUUUCUCCUAAAUGGGAGGAAACAUAGAGAGGAAGAAAAGUAUGCAAUCUCAGUUGCAAAUGGAGGCAGGGGCUCACCAUGUUCUCUGAUACGAUUGUACCGCCCAUUGGUAAGAAUCAGGGGCUGAAAAGAUUCUGUUACUGAAACUCAACACUUAGUUGAUACCUGCUACAACUUUAACUACUCGUUGACUGUUUACGGCUUUUGCUGUAAGUUGGAGUAUGGUGACAAACACACAAGUAAGUUUGCAAAGGCAUAUUAUUUGAUCUUCCUGUUGAGCUCUAGCUAAGGGUUCUUCAUAUAUUCUGGAUAUUAGACCUUCAUCAGAUAUGUGAUUUACAAAUAUUUUUUCCCAUUUGUUUGUUACCUUUUCACUAUCUUGAUACUCUACUUUGAGGUGAAAAUGCUUUUAAAUUCGAUGAAGUCCAAUUUAUCUAUUUUUUCUUUGAUUUCUUGUGCUUUUGGUAUUAUGUUUAAAUAUUGCAUUUCUAGAAUAAAUGUCAUGAAUAAUUAUACUGAUGAUUUCUUCUAAGAGUUUUAUAGUUUUAAUGCUUAUUUUUAGUUAUUUGAUUUAUUUGGGGUCUAUUUUUACAUAUAAUGUGAGGAAGGAUUACAACUUCCUUCUUUUUCAUGUAGAUAUGCAGAUGUUUGCAGCACCAUAUGUCAAAAAAAUCUCUUCUUUCCUCAUAAAAUUUUCUUGACACUCUUGUUAAAAUUCAAUUGACCAUAAAUGUAUGGGUUUAUUACAGUACUUAUAUUUCUAUUUCAUUGAUUUAUACAUCUAUCCUAUGCAAGUACCACAAAGUCUUGAUUACAGCAGUUUUAUAGUAAGCUUUGGAAUUGGCGAGUAUAUGUUUUCAAACUUAUUACUUUCCAAGAUUGUUUAGAUAAUUCUCAGUUCUUUUGUAUUUAAAUUUUUGCAUCAGUAUGUUAAUUUAUGCAAAAAAUGCAUUUGGGACUUGACAAGAUUUUGUUAAAUAUGUGGAUGAAGUUUUAGAGUAUUACAUCUUAACAAGUCUUUAAUCCAUGA
rnacentral:lncRNA from 1 species